rnacentral:tRNA from 1 species
AAUGUAGCUCAGUGGUAGAGCACUUGACUAGAGUACAUGAGGCCCAGGGUUCAAUUCCCCAGCAUU